AUGGCCAUACAUGCCUUGUACACGCAUCAGACCGUUCCCGCGCCUGGCCGCGACGGCCGUCCCCGCGUCCGCUCCAACCGCGGCAAGGCGCGCCGACGCCCGACCCUCCGUGGUUCCCCGCUGCUGCCUGCUGUGUGCCGCUGCUUCAGCCAAACCUCCUGCAGCUCAAUCUUUGGCCAUGGCCCCGAGCGCUCGCUCCUUCCUUUUCCAGUGUCUCCUCGCCACCCGCCCAUCGCCUCGGCUGACCGCGCACCGGGUCCUCCGCUCCGGCUUGCCGCAAGCCGGUCCGCCCGCUCGUCGGGUGCGCCGUCCCGCGGAACGGACUACCGCGUCUGCGCCCCCGCGUCAAGCCGCCGCCUCCGCGCAACUCCCUGCGCCGUCGUCGCGACCCCGUCCGUCUCUGCCUCCGCCCGUGGCCGGGUCGCGCAUGCCGCCUCCACCUCCACCGCGCCGCGCCGGCUUCAUCUGCAUCGGCCGAGUCCGACCCUGCGCCGGCUCCACAGCGCCCUCUCCCGCGUCGCUCUGCUCCGGCUCCCCCGCGCCUCCAUCAUCUUCGCGGCGGCCCUUGGCCGGCUCCACCCUCACCACGGCCGCCUUCUCCCCGUACCGGACCGCGCCUCUGUCCGGCCCGCCACGCUGCGCCGGCUCCCAACCUCCGCUCGCUCCACCUCCAUGACCGCGUGGUCGCGGCCGCGGGCCCCGUGCCCGACCUCUUCUCGUCGCCCCGCCGGCCUCUCGAGCCCCUUGCCGGGUCGCCGCGCCUCCGGCCGCCUCCCCGUUGGGUCUCCUGAGCCCCUGCCGGGUCGCCGCUCCUUCGACCGCCUCCGUCGCGCCUGCCGGCUCCCGCUCCGGCCUCCUCCGCGCUCGGCCGCGUCGGCUCCGCGCACUCAGGCCGGUUCCCGAGCGGCGCCGCUUCCGCGCCGGCCUGCUCCGGCCCCACCUCGCCCGCUCGCCGGCUUCCGUGGGCCGGCUUCGCCUCGCCUCGGCCGCAUUCGCACCGACCCGGCAGCUCCGUGCCAUCGCCGGCUCCCCGCUGGCUGGCUCCCGGCCGCACGCCGGCAUCGCCUUCUCGUGCUCGGCCCGACCUGA
rnacentral:rRNA from 1 species